GACGAACGCUGGCGGCGUGCUUAACACAUGCAAGUCAAGGAGAACGUUUUCUUCGGAAAACUAUUAAACUGGCGAACGGGUGAGUAACACGUAGGUAAUCUACCUUAAAGAUUGGGAUAACUCGGCGAAAGCCGGACUAAUACCGAAUAAUGCAACGAAUCCGUCGGGAUUUGUUGUUAAAGUGGGCUUCGGCUCACACUUUUUGAUGAGCCUGCGUCCGAUUAGCUAGUUGGUGAGGUAAUGGCUCACCAAGGCGAUGAUCGGUAGCUGGUCUGAGAGGACGAUCAGCCACACUGGAAUUGAGAUACGGUCCAGACUCCUACGGGAGGCAGCAGUGGGGAAUUUUGCGCAAUGGGCGAAAGCCUGACGCAGCAACGCCGCGUGAUCGAUGAAGCUCCUCGGAGUGUAAAGAUCUGUCAUAAGGGAAGA
rnacentral:rRNA from 1 species